GGAGAGGUGGCAGAGUGGUCGAAUGCACCGGAUUCGAAAUCCGGCGUACAGUUCAUACUGUACCGAGGGUUCGAAUCCCUCCUUCUCCGCCA
rnacentral:tRNA from 1 species